AAAGAAUUUGUCUGGCGACCAUAGCGCUGUGGCUCCACCUGAUCCCAUGCCGAACUCAGAAGUGAAACGCAGUUGCGCCGAUGGUAGUGUGGGGUCUCCCCAUGUGAGAGUAGGGCAUCGCCAGGCGC
rnacentral:rRNA from 1 species